CCUACGGGUGGCAGCAGUGGGGAAUAUUGCACAAUGGGGGAAACCCUGAUGCAGCAACGCCGCGUGAGUGAAGAAGUACUUCGGUAUGUAAAGCACUAUCAGCAGGGAAGAAGAUGAUGGUACCUGUAUAAGAAGCCCCGGUUAACUACGUGCCAGCAGCCGCGGUAAUACGUAGGGGGCAAGCGUUAUCCGGAUGUACUGGGUGGAAAGGGAGCGCAGACGGCAGUGCAAGUCAGGAGUGAAAGCCCGGGGCGCAACCCCGGAACUGCUCUGGAAACUGGGCGGCUAGAGUACUGGAGGGGCAGGCGGAAUUCCUGGUGUAGCGGUGAAAUGCGUAGAGAUUAGGAGGAACACCGGUGGCGAAGGCGGCCUGCUGGAC
rnacentral:rRNA from 1 species